AACGAACGCUGGCGGCAGGCCUAACACAUGCAAGUCGAACGCUCCGCAAGGGGAGUGGCAGACGGGUGAGUAACCCGUGGGAAUCUUCCUAUUGGUACGGAAUAGCUCAGGGAAACUUGGGGUAAUACCGUAUAAGCCCGUGAGGGGAAAGAUUUAUCGCCGAUAGAUGAGCCCGCGUCUGAUUAGCUAGUUGGUGAGGUAACGGCUCACCAAGGCGACGAUCAGUAGCUGGUCUGAGAGGAUGACCAGCCACACUGGGACUGAGACACGGCCCAGACUCCUACGGGAGGCAGCAGUGGGGAAUAUUGGACAAUGGGCGCAAGCCUGAUCCAGCCAUGCCGCGUGAGUGACGAAGGUCUUCGGAUUGUAAAGCUCUUUUGCCAGGGACGAUAAUGACGGCACCUGGAGAAUAAGCCCCGGCUAACUUCGUGCCAGCAGCCGCCGUAAAAC
rnacentral:rRNA from 1 species